GCGGGCGUGGUGGAAUUGGUAGACGCGCUGGAUUUAGGUUCCAGUUCCGCAAGGAGUGGGGGUUCAAGUCCCUCCGCCCGCACCA
rnacentral:tRNA from 1 species